rnacentral:sRNA from 1 species
AGCUUGCAAGCAUGCUCCGCUGGACCCGAGCCUGGAGGCUCCCGCGUGAGGGACUCGGCCCCCACGGCCCUAGCUUCGCGAGGGUGCCUGUCGCACCCAGCAGCAGCAGCGGCGGCCGAGGGGGCGCCGAGCCGAGGCCGCUUCCGCUUUCCUACAGGCUUCUGGACGGGGAGGCAGCCCUCCCGGCCGUCGUCUUUUUGCACGGGCUCUUCGGCAGCAAAACUAACUUCAACUCCAUCGCCAAGAUCUUGGCCCAGCAGACAGGCCGUGCUGACGGUGGAUGCUCGUAACCACGGUGACAGCCCCCACAGCCCAGACAUGAGCUACGAGAUCAUGAGCCAGGACCUGCAGGACCUUCUGCCCCAGCUGGGCCUGGUGCCCUGCGUCGUCGUUGGCCACAGCAUGGGAGGAAAGACAGCCAUGCUGCUGGCACUACAGAGGGUGAGCCGCCCAUGUCUGGGGCCUCCUCCCAUUCAGUAUAUAUCCUGAGGGCCCUGCAGGCAACCUGGGACUCACAUGGUCGUUGGAUGACCAAGUUCAGGCUCCAGGAGCCGUGCCUGAGACUCCCUAUGUCUGCCUAAGACUGGUCCCAGUUCGGUUCUCUCCCACAGCCAGAGCUGGUGGAACGUCUCAUUGCUGUAGAUAUCAGCCCAGUGGAAAGCACAGGUGUCUCCCACUUUGCAACCUACGUGGCAGCCAUGAGGGCCAUCAACAUCGCAGAUGAGCUGCCCCGCUCCCGUGCCCGAAAACUGGCGGAUGAACAGCUCAGUUCUGUCAUCCAGGACAUGGCCGUGCGGCAGCACCUGCUCACUAACCUGGUAGAGGUAGACGGGCGCUUCGUGUGGAGGGUGAACUUGGAUGCCCUGACCCAGCACCUAGACAAGAUCUUGGCUUUCCCACAGAGGCAGGAGUCCUACCUCGGGCCAACACUCUUUCUCCUUGGUGGAAACUCCCAGUUCGUGCAUCCCAGCCACCACCCUGAGAUUAUGCGGCUCUUCCCUCGGGCCCAGAUGCAGACGGUGCCGAACGCUGGCCACUGGAUCCACGCUGACCGCCCACAGGACUUCAUAGCUGCCAUCCGAGGCUUCCUGGUCUAAGAGUUGCUGGCAAGAAGAUGGCCGGGCGUGGUGGCUCAUGCCUGUAAUUCCAGCACUUUGGGAGGCUGAGGCGGGAGGAUGACUUGAGGCCAGGAGUUGGAGACCAGCCUGACCAACAUGGUGAAACCCUGUCUACUAAAAAUACAAAAAUUAGCCUGGCGUGGUGGUGCACACCUGUAAUCCCAGCUACUCGGGAGGCUGAGGCAGGAGAAUCACUUGAACCCGGGAGGCAGAGGUUGCAAUGAGCCGAGAUCACACCACUACACUCCAGCCUAGGCAACAGAGCAAGACUCUGUCUCAAAAAAAACAAAACAAAAAGGAGGCACAAAACCCCAGGCUUCAAGUCUCUGCAGCCUGCUCCACAUUUGGGCACAGAAGGACUCAGACAGGCACUGCGUGGGCACGAGGUUUUACAGGGGUGGUCAGACCUCAGGCUUUAAUGAAUAAAGACACUACUCCCAAA